CACAUGCAAGUCGAACGGGCUCUUCGGAGCUAGUGGCGGACGGGUGAGUAACGCGUGAGAAUCUGCCUUCAGGAGGGGGAUAACGAGGUGGAAACGGGGGCGGAGUACCCCAUAUGCCUCCGGGUGAAAAGUAAUUCGCCUGAAGAUGAGCUCGCGUCAGAUUAGCUAGUUGGUGGGGUAAGAGCCUACCAAGGCGACGAUCUGUAGCUGGUCUGAGAGGAUGAUCAGCCACACUGGGACUGAGACACGGCCCAGACUCCUACGGGAGGCAGCAGUGGGGAAUUUUCCGCAAUGGGCGCAAGCCUGACGGAGCAAGACCGCGUGGGGGAUGACGGCCUAAUGGUUGUAAACCCCUUUUCUCUGGGAAGAAGACUGACGGUACCAGAGGAAUCAGCCUCGGCUAACUCCGUGCCAGCAGCCGCGGUAAUACGGAGGAGGCAAGCGUUAUCCGGAAUUAUUGGGCGUAAAGCGUCCGUAGGUGGUUAUUCAAGUCUGCUGUCAAAGCGUGGGGCUUAACUCCAUAGAGGCAGUGGAAACUGAGUGACUAGAGUGCGGUAGGGGUCGAGGGAAUUCCCAGUGUAGCGGUGAAAUGCGUAGAUAUUGGGAAGAACACCAGUGGCGAAAGCGCUCGACUGGGCCUGCACUGACACUGAGGGACGAAAGCUAGGGGAGCGAAAGGGAUUAGAUACCCCUGUAGUCCUAGCCGUAAACGAUGGAUACUAGGUGUUGCUCGUCAUCGACCCGAGCAGUGCCGUAGCCAACGCGUUAAGUAUCCCGCCUGGGGAGUACGCUCGCAAGAGUGAAAACUCAAAGGAAUUGACGGGGGCCCGCACAAGCGGUGGAGUAUGUGGUUUAAUUCGAUGCAACGCGAGAACCCUUACCAGGGCUUGACAUGUCCGGAACCUUGCCGAGAGGUGAGGGUGCCUUCGGGAG
rnacentral:rRNA from 1 species